rnacentral:rRNA from 1 species
UACGGAGGAUCCGAGCGUUAUCCGGAUUUAUUGGGUUUAAAGGGUGCGCAGGCGGGGGAUUAAGUCGGCGGUGAAAUUUUGCAGCUCAACUGUAAAAGUGCCUUCGAAACUGGUUUCCUUGAGUGUAGAUGAAGUAGGCGGAAUUUGUGGUGUAGCGGUGAAAUGCAUAGAUAUCACGAGGAACUCCGAUUGCGCAGGCAGCUUACUAAACUACUACUGACGCUCAGGCACGAAGGCGUGGUGAUCAAACAGGAUUAGAUACCCCGGUAGU